AUAAAGACUAAACGGCAUGAUUAGAUGCUAGUUAAAAGUAUUAAAUAAUUUAAUUAGUACAUGAUACGUUCAUUCAUGUAGUUUCAGACCAAGAGGCUACGCGUGCCGGCGUUCCUCGGCGGCGGGGAGAUGGCCAUGGCCUAUGAACGAGGCGACGGCGUCGUCGAACAUCUCCUCGACGCCCUUGAAUUCCGCCAGCCCCAGCGCGCGGGCCUUGGACGUGUCGAAGCCGUACGACUGCUCGCCGUAGGCGCGGGGCAGGCUCCUCGGGACGGGGUACGCUGGGAACCGCCGCGCGAGCAGGGCGGCGAGGUCGCCGCAGUCCAGCACCGCCGCGCUGCAGAUGUACCUCCCUCGGGCGCCCGCGGCCUCGUACGCCAGCAUGUGGCACCUCGCCACGUCGUCGAUGUGGACGUACCCCAUCCUCCCGCCGAGGACAUCAGAAGCGGUGGGGCCGAGCUCAGGAGACAGAGUAGGUCCGACAACGAAGGUCGGAAGAACGGUGACGAGGUCGAUCCUGUGCUCUCCGGCGAACUCCCAGGCUGCCUUCUCGGCGAGGAUCUUUGCGACGGCGUACCAUAUCUAAGGGAGCACGGGAACAGCACAUUGUCACGCAGGUACGGUCCAAAUCACUCUUCUGACGACCGUACGCUCACCUGGAGACUUUCGCAGAACUCGAUGGAGCUCCACGACGAUUCGUCCAGCAGCACGUUAGGGGGCAGGUCGGCUUCGUCCUUGAUCCUCACUGUCGACGACGAGGAUGUCAGGACAACCCUCUUGAGCGAUGGGUUCUUCUUGCACGAGCGUAGCACGUUCAUCGUGCCGUUUAUUGCUGAAUCAAGCAUCUCCUCCUGCCAAGUGGCACCAACAUGUUUCAGAUCCGGUGACGACGGGCGAUGCGGUGUGGAAGACGCCCUCGCAAGCCAUCACAGCGUCGUCGAAGCUCCCUUCCUCCAAGAGAUCAGCUCUCACGAGCUGCAGCCUUUCCUUUGCGCCUUCCAGGCCCCAGAGGUGCCCUACUUUCUUGCCAUUCCCUACCAAGACAUCUUUGCUUUCAGGAGUGAUUUAUUUGACAGGACAUGGUACCCAGACUCAAGAAGCCGCUUGACGAGCCAGGAGGCGAUGAAACCAGACGCCCCAGUGACACAGACCUUACCCUUAGCAGUGUUAGCCAUUCUCUCAGACUCGAGGUGGAGAGUUGGCUUGGUCAUGCGCAGAUUCCACCACAGCAUAGGAGCCUCACAGCUUCUGCAUUCCACUGGAUUAAACCACUCCCGUCCUACAAAAGUUCACAGCUUAGAAAGGCAUGAAUUACCAACCUUACAUGCAUUGCAGGAACCUUCUUCCUUCCUACUGAGACGCUGCUUUAUCAAAAAUUUCUUAAACAUGUGUAAUUUCAUCACUUCAAGUUACUGGUUAGUGGUCAGUUUUGUUCCAAUGGCAACUGUCACUAUCAGAAUGAGGCAAUGCAAAAGGAGUUCCAUUCCUGGACAUUUUAUUCUGGUUACAUCCUUUUUCUCGAAACAAA
rnacentral:misc_RNA from 1 species